ACUCCCCUUUUGGCUUUUUCUGUGCCUACAUGCCUGUCACUCUGGAAUCAAGCAGAAGCUGCACAAGUAUGCCAGGAGAUGUGCCACUGCAGGGCCUCAGGAAUGAAAGGCAGUCAAGAUUCAAGUAGCUCAGUUCUACAAGCCAGCUAACAAAGUCUGACACAGACCCAGCAAAUAUACUAAAAAUGACAAUUGUCUUGAUUACACAAGACCAGAGAUUCCAGUGAACAAGUACUGAGCUAGUGAACGGGACAACCACAUGGUAUGAAAGAUUAAAAUAUGCAUCCUCUAAGAUUAAACAUAACAACAGAUUACAAGAUUUAAAACAAGUUUUUUUUGCAAGACUACUCUACCUUGUAGAGCUAUCAGAAUUUUAUUCACCAAAUAAAAUGAUAUCACCUGCGUUAGUCUCUCUCUUUUACAUAUCAGUCACAUUUUCCUUAAGGGGUCAUAAUGCAUUUUUUUCACAAUCCCAAAAAUUCUUCCCAAUUUCAUCCUUAAGCUAAUCUAUAAA